UACUUAAGUGUGUUGUUUUUUGUUUGCUUGUUGUUGUUGUUUUUACUUUCCAGUUUUUGUCCCAAUUUAAAAUAAGAACAGUCAUUUUACUUUGAAGGUUAUCACUACGUGUUAGGUGCCUUGACUUUAACUUUCAUUUCUCUGUAAACCCCAUUCAUGUCAUUGGCUGCGUCCGAAACCGCCUACUACCAUACUGUAUAGUAGGCGAGGCGAGUAGUAUGUCCGGAUUCGUAGUAUUCCAAAAACGCUGCUCUGGAUGACAUUUUCUUUAUUAGUAAACAACAGAACUGAGCAUGAGUGUGGAGGAGAAUCCUGUCUUUGUUGGCUCAACAUACAAGAUGCUCCAGAUCAACAAUGGGGAAACACAUGCUUUACGUUUUCCCUCCCUUACAAAUUGACACUACAUCCCUUCUCUAAGCUGUGGAUGGGUAAGUUCGCCAGAACAAUAGAAACAAUGGUCUAAUUUCAUACAUAAAGAAUAUUUUGUACAAAUCUUCAGUGAUGCUCUGGGCGGGCAUUUUUAGGAUGCAGCAUAUGGGGCGGUGGUUUAUUGUAUUGUAUGAAGGACGUUCUUCAUGAAUAAAGGUAGGUGACACUAAUCUGAAAUGAGGUGGAUUCACUAGCUUUUGUAACUACCAUUAUAGGCUUUCUCAUCCAUUGUUGGCUUCAUUGUAAAUUCUGAAUAUAGACCUUGUGGUGUGAUCAAAACAUACAAAGGUGCUAAAAUAUUCCUGUAGAAUUUUAUUGACUGUACUAGUAUUUUAUUACCCAUGUUCACUUACUGUAUUUUGGGAAAAUGCACAACAGUAGGACUAACCAUACUUCACAUAGAUGUAUAUACUGUACAAUAUUUAUGUAGUUCAUUUCCCCACUAUUUCAUUAAAGUUUAACUGAAACAAUGCAUUUCGACACCUUUCAUGUAUAUUAUACACUGCAAUGUAUUUGUUGAAUGCAGUGCACCUGAGUACAACAACUCAAGGCAUGCGGCCCAGUGAAGAAAACCCAAAACAUUGUGGGCUCACACUACAAACCUCCAGACAAUUCAGAUGGUAAGUAAAUUGUUCAGACCAUUGUGAAAUGUUGCAUCAAAUUCUUAUUACUGUGGAUGGCUUCUCAGUGAAGUUUUAUCAUUUCUUCAGUUUAGUAUUGCUUU